AAUGAACACUGCAGAUGAUUCUACAUCACAAACAAACAGUGUUCAAAAGGGAUUAAGUAUGUGAUUACGUUUUUGUCCUGAAUCCCUGGGUAUAUAAGCGAUAUUCCAUCACUUUCUCAAUUCCAGUAGUCUCAAUUCCAGUGUGUUAGGCAAUUUCAAGCUUAUCCAUCGCAAUCAGUCUCAGCAAAAGCUUGCUCAAAACUUGAAGGAAGGUCACCAAGUUGCAGGCUCUCACACAAAGUAUCAACAGGGUUUCGUUUUAUUAGCUUAUUUGCGAGAUUUGGGGAAUAGUUUUCAGCAAGAAAAGAGUUUUUGCAAAACGUUGGGCACUGCAAUAGAAAAGAGAAGAAGGCAAAUCAGUUUCAUCUCCGAUUUCAAAAGGUUUAGAACAUCAGAUUAAGUUAUAGAUGUUCUUCAGAUUAAGUUUUUGAUUGGAUUUUUUGAUUUCGGAUCACAACCCUUGCAAA